rnacentral:rRNA from 1 species
AGAGUUUGAUCCUGGCUCAGAUUGAACGCUGGCGGCAUGCUUUACACAUGCAAGUCGAACGGCAGCACGGGUGCUUGCACCUGGCGGCGAGUGGCGGACGGGUGAGUAAUACAUCGGAACGUGUCCUGAAGUGGGGGAUAACGCAUCGAAAGAUGUGCUAAUACCGCAUAUACUCUGAGGAGUAAAGUAGGGGAUCGAAAGACCUUAUGCUUUUGGAGCGGCCGAUGUCUGAUUAGCUAGUUGGUGGGGUAAUUGCCUACCAAGGCGACGAUCAGUAGUUGGUCUGAGAGGACGGCCAGCCACACUGGGACUGAGACACGGCCCAGACUCUUACGGGAGGCAGCAGUGGGGAAUUUUGGACAAUGGGCGCAAGCCUGAUCCAGCAAUGCCGCGUGAGUGAAGAAGGCCUUCGGGUUGUAAAGCUCUUUCAGUUGAGAAGAAAAGAUUGUAACUAAUAAUUACAGUUCAUGACGGUAUCAACAGAAGAAGCACCGGCUAACUACGUGCCAGCAGCCGCGGUAAUACGUAGGGUGCGAGCGUUAAUCGGAAUUACUGGGCGUAAAGGGUGCGCAGGCGGUUCUGUAAGUCAGAUGUGAAAUCCCCGGGCUUAACCUGGGAACUGCGUUUGAAACUACAGAGCUAGAGUGUGGCAGAGGGGGGUGGAAUUCCAUGUGUAGCAGUGAAAUGCGUAGAGAUAUGGAAGAACAUCGAUGGCGAAGGCAGCCCCCUGGGUUAACACUGACGCUCAUGCACGAAAGCGUGGGGAGCAAACAGGAUUAGAUACCCUGGUAGUC